rnacentral:rRNA from 1 species
CCCUUAGAUGUUCUGGGCCGCACGCGCGCUACACUGAUGCAUUCAACGAGUCUAAAACCUGCUCUGAUAGGGGUGGGUAAUCUUUUGAAUGUGCAUCGUGAUUGGGAUAGAUGAUUGUAAUUUUUCAUCUUCAACGAGGAAUGCCUAGUAAACGCAAGUCAUCAGCUUGCAUUGAUUACGUCCCUGCCCUUUGUACACACCGCCCGUCGCUCCUACCGAUUGAAUGAUCCGAUGAAUAUCAUGGAUUGAGGAUGCAAGCAGGUUCGCCUGUCUUCAUCUUCGAGAAGUGAAGUAAAUCUUAUCAUUUAGAGGAAGGAGAAGUCGUAACA